GAGUUUGAUCCUGGCUCAGGAUUAACGCUGGCGGCGUGCCUAAUACAUGCAAGUCGAACGGAAGUACCUUCGGGUACUUUAGUGGCGAACGGGUGAGUAAUACAUAGGUAACCUACCCUUAAGACGAGGAUAGCCAUUGGAAACGAUGGAUAAAACUGGAUAGGAUAUAGAGGAAGAAUCUUUUAUAUUUAAAAGAGAGAUCUGCUUAAGGAGGGGCCUGUGGCGCAUUAGCUAGUUGGUGGGGUAAGGGCCUACCAAGGCGAUGAUGCGUAGCCGGACUGAGAGGUUGAACGGCCACAAUGGAACUGAGAACGGUCCAUACUCCUACGGGAGGCAGCAGUAGGGAAUUUUCGGCAAUGGGGGGAACCCUGACCGAGCAACGCCGCGUGAACGAAGAAGUUAUUCGU
rnacentral:rRNA from 1 species